rnacentral:misc_RNA from 1 species
GGCAGAGAUUGCCUGAUAACAGCAAUGUUGACAAAGUGCGAGAAUUUAUAAAGACUGUAUAUGUUGAUAAAAGAUAUGCUGGUGGAAAGACCCAUGACAAGCCUCCUAGGGAUUUGCAGAGGCUUAGAAGCCAUGAAGGUGAGACAAGGCGUGCAAGCUCUUAUCAUUCUUAUUCUCAAAGCCCGCCCUAUGAUUUCCAAUAUGAAGAUAGAUGUUAUGGAAAACAAACUGCUGUUCUCACACGGAAACCUGGUUCAGAUCGAGGCCUUUAUGU